UAUUUUUACCAAAUCUUUUACCUACUACUCACAAUACGGGUGAGGACCAUGGGCCGUCAUUUUCAAAUACAUGUGGGGUCCGCCAUAUAUUGUGAGAGGAAGGACACCAUUUGAUAAACCCUAUUUUUAAAGCAGGACUUCUGAAUCAAUGAACACAUGACAUGUAAAAUGAGGAAUAACACAAGAAUAUGUAAUGGAAUCGGUUAUAAAUACACCAUUAAAUGAUUGUCAACUAUUAUUUUCUAGGAAGAUCUAAUCUCCUCCAAUGCCUCGAAGAAAAAUGUAUAAAUAGUUCCGCCUACGGGUAGGAAAGUAUGUAAAUUCAAAUAUCUCUUUCUUGAUAGCCAUUUCCCCACUAAAAUUUGAUUUUAACUCACACUGAAUAGGGGCUUUAGAACGAAAAGACACCAUUGGUGUCAAUAAGCGUCGAACGCACUCGCGAAGCAGCAGCGUGUUGGUCAAGCCUUGGCCAGCAAAAUCGCGCUCUAGUUGGUUUUGGCCAGCCUGCUUGUUUUAUGAUUGCUCGAUGUGAUAUUCCUUGGCUCUUGACAUAUAGUUCCCAACCUUGACCCCAAUGCUCAAUGCCUAAAUGACAUUCUUUUGACAAUAUUCUCUAACUGUCUCCAAAAGAUCUUUGCACAUAGGAACAUUAAACAGAGAUUGCUGAAAACACAACACAAUGGACGUCUAAAAUAUUCUCUAACAGUCUAUAAAAUGCAACGAGAGAUCAUUGAAAACAUAGUUGUCUACCAAUCGAUACACUUGUAAAAGUUAUUAUACUGAUCACUAGCUGGUUUUAGAAGGAAUUGGACUUUUCUAAAACCUUUGAGAUUGUAAAUAUAAAUUUCAAUCUAAAUAAGCUUCAUUUUCACACAUUUAAAGCAUACAUUCACAUGGCAUCCAUGAAUAUAUUUUCUAAAUAUCUUAUCCAUUCCGAAUUUCUACAAAAAUAAGUAUAUUCAUGUAAGGGAAAAAAAAAUUCGAUUAGAAUCAUCUUGAAUAUUACAAUAACAUCUCAUUAGACCCUGUUUGAACUCCAUUAUUUUCUCAUUAAAAUGAAAAAUAUAACCGUUAUUCGCCACAUCAAGCCAUCAUAUUUGAAUUUUUAUCUCUUGUGUGGGACUCAUAACGGUUAUAUUUUUCAUUAUUACUUUUAUAAUAAUAUGACUCAAACAAGGGCUAAUAGUUUAAAUAUAAAAAACUUAAAACCAUCAAGUUGUUUAUAGUUAGCUAUUUAACGUCUAUAAUCAACUUUAUAAUGACUUUAAUUGUUGCCCUACAACGAUCGCAAUAAUGGGAUAGUAUUAUUUUGUGUUUUGACUUAUUUGUUACAAUAAUACAAAUAUUUUCUUCUUCCUAUAUAUUCAUUUUUUCUUUAUAUCUUUAGAAGACUGAAUUAAAAUAUUUAAUAAUUAUUAAAAUCACAAAAUUAACCCUUUUGUGUAGCUCCUUAUUUUCAUCUCAUUUGAAUCCCUAUUUAACCUCAUAUAUGAAGCAACAAACAUUGUCGGUCAAUCAAUUUGUAGUGAAUGCUACGAAGUUAUUAAACUGUAUUUAGAAAUGUUUCAUUUAGGCCCGAGUACAGUUUGAUUUGGUUCAAUUUUGACUCCAACUCGAAACCAGAACUAGAUUAGUCAGUUUAGAUUAAUUACAAUCCAAAUCAAUCCACUCUAGCUCUUAAACAGAAUUGAACCAAACCAAGCUGUGGACUUUUAGUCUAAAUUGAUUUUUUUUUUAAAUGUCUGAUUUUGGGCCCACUUAAAGUACAAGAACUAAAAUGACUAAAUAACUUUAUAUUACAAAAAUUAUUGACUAACAAAUAAAAUCAAAAUGAUAGAGACGAAUCAAUAGAAAACUUAUAAUUUUAGAUAGUUAUUAUGCAUUACGUAGCUUGACUGCCUGAGUAUGGAAAAAAUGUUAAAUAUAACAUAAUGAAUUUCUGAGAGAAAAUUUUCGUUGCUAUUACUUACUGAUAACAUUAUUAAUUGAAGGAAAUUGAGAUAUAAUUAUGAGACCAGAGCCUAUCUUUUAAUUUUUUUCCCCUUAAAAAUAGAAGGUAAACAUAUAACUGAGUUGGGUUGGUACGAUUAACCAACAGUUUAAGACUUCAAAUCAUGACUAAAUCGACCCACCAUGAUUUUGUUUAAAAAAAAUAAAAUCAAACCAUAUCAAUUACCUAUGUUAAACAGACCUGAACUGACCUGAGUCAAUUCGAUUUGAUUGGUUUGAUCAGUUUUGCGAUUUUUUUGCCCAUGCCUAAAUUCAUUAACGUUUACUUUUUAUUUCAAUUUGAUGUUUGAAGAAUUAGUGAAAAUCCGUUUGUUUUUCUCAGGGAAUGUUUAAUAUU
rnacentral:lncRNA from 1 species